rnacentral:rRNA from 1 species
CUACGGGAGGCUGCAGUGGGGAAUAUUGGACAAUGGGGGGAACCCUGAUCCAGCCAUGCCGCGUGUGUGAAGAAGGCCCUCGGGUUGUAAAGCACUUUCAGUGAGGAAGAACGCCUGGUGGUUAAUACCCAUCAGGAAAGACAUCACUCACAGAAGAAGCACCGGCUAACUCCGUGCCAGCAGCCGCGGUAAUACGGAGGGUGCGAGCGUUAAUCGGAAUUACUGGGCGUAAAGCGCGCGUAGGUGGCUUGAUAAGCCGGUUGUGAAAGCCCCGGGCUCAACCUGGGAACGGCAUCCGGAACUGUCAAGCUAGAGUGCAGGAGAGGAAGGUAGAAUUCCCGGUGUAGCGGUGAAAUGCGUAGAGAUCGGGAGGAAUACCAGUGGCGAAGGUGGCCUUCUGGACUGACACUGACACUGAGGUGCGAAAGCGUGGGUAGCAAACAGGAUUAGAUACCCUAGUGC